GCAUCAAGUUAUAAAUCUGAUAUAAAAAACAGCUAAAUUUAUGUAAAUAAAAGUAAAAUAAAAAAGAAUUUCAAUAUUAUAUUUAGACAAUUAUCACAUAGAAUAGUCAAAAUUAUAUUUAAAAAUACUGAAAAAAUAACCUAAAAUUUCUAGCAGUGCUGAUUUUAAAAGACAUGACAGAAAAUUAAUCGGAAAAAUGUGGCGCUUGUCUAACCGCUACGUUCUAUUAUCAUCGAUAUCACUUUUGCAAUGACAGAAUUGUUAUUAUAAUUGCCCCUUCUCUUUUUGCAGAAAAGUAGGCGCGAUGGCUGACGAUUGUAUUCGCCAUCUACUACGAUUUUCUCCCACUACAACCGCUUUCUGUCCUCCUACUCUGAUGCCAGUUGAGCCACCUCUUCCUGAAAAAGUGUACCAUCACCGACCAUUGGGUGCAACUGAAAUCAAGGCUACCGAUUGGACGGCCUCUAACGCUCGCCUAGGAAUGCUGCGACCUCGUGCAACGAAUGCAACGCGCGACACACGUGUAGAGAUGCAGAUUAACGUAAUCUCCGUGAGCUGUACGUUAUCGGGUCGAGAUCGACGACGCCUUCGAAUUGCUCCACGCGAAGGAUUUAUGUUAAUUCUAAGUAACCUUCGCAGAAAUUAAUCGGUUUGCAUAACGCUUAAAGAUUCUUCCCCGGGCGAGAGGGAGCCUUCAAUGUUCCAGUCAAAGUUAUUCGAGAUAUGAGGAAGCAUUUGGAGCCUGAGCCGACGGGGGACGAUAGGAAUGAGCGGUUGAUGAAGAGAAAGGUGGAGGGCCGUUAAAGCUAUAUACGUAGGGAAAGAAAACGGGUAAGAGACAACCGCGAAAAAGACCGGCAAGUGGAAUGUCAGUUAAUUUGUAGCCAAGUCUAGUCCAUGCCAUAAUCUGCGCAUGUAUCAUACUCUUUUAUACGCGCCGAGACACACGUUGCCGAUCAGUAUGUCGCGUGCAAGUACACCAAUGUGCAUUACAAAACGCACAUUAUGAAUUACUAUCAUUAUUUAUUAUCAAAAACAAUUUUCACGUGAUAUAAAAAUUUUAUUAUAAAUAUUACAGUAUUUAGACUAGAUGCUACAAAUCAACAUGCUACAAAUUUGGUAGUAUAUUAUAUAUAUAUUUAUUUAUUUAUUGAUGUAAAGAAGCUGUUUUGAUAUAAAAUAAAAAUAUUAAUAAUGCGACGUUUGCGAUUAUCGUCCAAUCAUUGAUAGAUGAAAUAAAUGUCCACCAAGUACAAUGGACUAUUUGAUAAAGAGGAAAAGAAAUCGAUCAAUUGCAUUCCACUUAUGUGAGCAAGUCACUAAGCGAAAGCUGCACAAGCUUUUACCGGUAGCGUUCAGAACAUCGGUACACAAGUCGUGUCUUAGCUAUGGCAGGUAUUUACUACUGGACACCGAGAAUACUUUACUACGUUCGCGUUCUUCGUUGCAUCAACGCCGUUUUGUCCAGAAAAUCGCGGAAUGUAUGAGAUCUUUGAGACGUGAUGUGAGAACAGAAAGUGCUUGAAAAACAUUUGCUUGAUUACGUGAGUAAAUACGCAAAGAGAAAUAAUUACAUCAUAUGGUUGCCCAUGUUUUACACUCUAAAAAUUACAUACUUGUGUUUUCGCGCGAUUUUAAUAUCUUGAUGGAAGAAAAUAAAAAAUUUGCCAAAUGCGUAAAACAACGUGGGGUAUACAGACCGGACGGUACUCACAAUCCCGUAAUACUUUAUCGUUCAGAGAUAAAAACUACUCUACGUAAAACCGAACGCCCGGAGGGCUUCCUUCUUUUGCUCGACACUCUCGCAUAAGCAGGCGAUUCAAGUGCCGCUCCGUGCAGAAAGAGAGAAAGAGCUACGAAACGUGAAACAGAGCACAAAAAGAACAAUCCGCGAGGUGGAUGAGAAGAGCACAUAAGGAAGCCGAGUUUACGAGAUGAUUGUCCUACGGACCCUAUUCAUUCGACAUGGAAUCUCCAGGUGAAUCUCUAUUGUAGAUUAUUGCGCCAUUGUCCAUUGUCGCAAUCCGCCACAACUGGUCUCCUUAGAUCUCUUUGACAUAAGUAGAAAAAGUUUGACAAGGAUAAAAAAAACAGCGGUGUCAUUGAUGAAGACACUCAAAAUAAUUAAAAUUAUUUAAAAACCAAAGAAAAGUGCAGUCUGCAUUAAUUCAAUAUAUAAUCGGCAUUCUACCUUAGGUUCAAAUUAAUGUUUCUUUCCAUGAAUAAAAAUUUUUUUCAAACAAAAGUAUUAAACCAAAUCGAGCAAAACAAUAAAAUGCACAAAUUUCGAACGUUAACAUUUUUCAGAAUUAUAAUGAAUGUUCUUUUAUAUUGUAACCAAAAAUAUCAGAAAUACACUGAACCAAAACUAGACAUAUAUAUAUAUAAAUUCCAAAGAAAUAUUCAUUCUACUAAUAAAAAAUUUAUUAAAAUUGGUCCAAUGAAUUAUUUUAUUAACAUGAUGUUGUAACAAAGAAUAAUUCGUUAUAUUAAUAAAUUUAUUUAUGGUUAAAAGGUUCAAUAUAAUAUUUAUGCUAUUAAUAAAAAGUUUAUUAUCAAUGAAUUUUAGUCAAUAAACGUCAUACAUUGAUACUAUAAAGAAUAUUUUUUUCAGUGUACGUAAGUUAAUUUGUUGCUCGAUUCAACAUCUAGGCGAAAAGCCUUAAUCACGUCUCAAUUUCAAUUAUUUUCCAAUUUGAGAGCAAAAUCGACGGGGAUGUGAAAAUUAACGGCAAUUAACGGCAAUUCACGUGCCUCCCACGUUGGGCGGUCGGGCGAAAAAAGUGCAGGUUGCACGCGACACAAACGCGGGCAAUGGAAGUUUUACUUGUCCUGCGGGACAAACGUCGAUGGAAAUCGAAUGAUGCGGAACAGGCACCUGCGUGGGUACAUGCAAUUACGUAUGGAUAACUUCGGCGAAAAAGCAGCCGAUGCGAUCGCACACACCGACUCCGAUCUUAUCGACACGAUGUCGCGCGCAUUGCCGAAGGUUCUAGGCCCAGUAUGACGGUGCAAUUAUCAAUAAUUGAGAAAUUUUUUUUCAAGUGUAUUUCAAUAUAACGAGCCGACGCGCACAUUAAUUUGAUAUUAUAAGCACUGUCCCAAGAUUCCCGUUAUUACAUUGCCGUAAGACCAUUAACCUCUUUUCGCGAUACGCAAUUUAUGUUUUUCCCUCUCUUUUUUUUUUAAAUUAUACUCCGCAAAUUUCGAAGACAAGUGUAAUUCGGGCCAUAUGCGCGUUUCAAGAUGCCCACAGGUUUUUUGAACCGUGUAAAUCGUCAGAUGUGCAAUCUCACUUUAAUUACUCAUUUUAAUUAUUCAAAUUAAUUAAGCGAAGAUUAAUUGAUAUACAUAUUAUAUAUAAAAAGUAUUAACAGUAUACGUUUGUAACAUUAUCAAAUUAAAGUAAUUAUGCACAAAUAUUAAAAAACGUUAUAUAAUUGCUGAAAGUAAUGACAAAAUUUGCUUAUCAUUCCAAUUAAAUUUAAUAUUCAUAAAUUUUAAUAUAUACUCUUAAAAAUAAUUUAAAAUUAUAAAUAUAUAAGCAAAAGACAAUAUGUAUAUGUAACCUCGAUUUUUAAGUUUGUUUUUGAUACUUUGUUAUUAUUAUUGUUAUAUUUAUUAUAAAUACAUCAAUAAUUGUGUGUGAGUAUGUGUACAUGUAAUAAAAUUAUAUUAAUAUUUUUUAUAGUUAGAAAUUUUUAUUUUAACCUAAAAAGUAUUCUAAUAAUUUCUAAUAACUUGAAUAAUUUAUAAUAAUCUUAAUAGAAUAUUACUUAAUUCGGUUUUUCUAAAAGAAGAAAAAGAGUAAUAAUAAUAAACUUUACUUGAUUAGUUUGCUAAUACUCUUAUUGUUCUAAAAAAAAAAACCAAA
rnacentral:lncRNA from 1 species